GCCCGCAUAGCUCAGGCGGUAGAGCACUCCCUUGGUAAGGGAGAGGUCACUAGUUCAAGUCUAGUUGUGGGCACCA
rnacentral:tRNA from 1 species